rnacentral:sRNA from 2 species
UUUGACAAUUUGACACCAAGUCUUCCAAUGCUCAACAGCAGUGUUUCACUACGAUAAACCGGACAUAUAACAUCGUCUUUUCUUGCUAAAACAUCCUCCGGAGGCCGUAUGAAGUAGUACGAGCCAUCGAGCCAUCCCAUGCAGCUGGCGUGGUGGAUUCGGAAACCUUGCCAACAACAUUCCGAUGUCGCUACUCUGCCUGGGAAAUACGCACAAAUAUUACGAUUACGUUUUCAAUUUUCUCUACCGGAAAAAAUAAAAAAAUGAGGUGAUUUCCCUAGUCGAGCAGACGCAACAGUGGAGCGAACGUUACUCUACUUACUUUCCGCGGGCCGCGAAUCUAAUCAAUCAGAUAAUCUUAUCAUCAGCGGGACCCACCAGCCAAA